rnacentral:tRNA from 1 species
AGGGCUGUAGUUUAAAAAAAUGGUAAGUUGCAAACUUGAUGAUAGGAAAACCUCCUCAGCUCCG